rnacentral:rRNA from 1 species
UACGUAGGGUGCGAGCGUUGUCCGGAAUUAUUGGGCGUAAAGAGCUCGUAGGCGGUUUGUUGCGUCGGCCGUGAAAACCUGCAGCUUAACUGUGGGCCUGCGGUCGAUACGGGCAGACUUGAGUUCGGUAGGGGAGACUGGAAUUCCUGGUGUAGCGGUGAAAUGCGCAGAUAUCAGGAGGAACACCGGUGGCGAAGGCGGGUCUGUGGGCCGAUACUGACGCUGAGGAGCGAAAGCGUGGGGAGCGAACAGG